rnacentral:rRNA from 1 species
ACGAUCGUUAAUACCGCAUAACAUAAUUGAACCGCAUGAUUUGAUUAUCAAAGAUUUAUCGCUGAAAGAUGAGCUCGCGUCUGAUUAGCUAGUUGGUAAGGUAACGGCUUACCAAGGCGACGAUCAGUAGCCGGACUGAGAGGUUGAUCGGCCACAUUGGGACUGAGACACGGCCCAGACUCCUACGGGAGGCAGCAGUGGGGAAUAUUGCACAAUGGAGGAAACUCUGAUGCAGCGAUGCCGCGUGAGGGAAGAAGGUUUUAGGAUUGUAAACCUCUGUCUUCAGGGACGAAAAAAGACGGUUCUUGAGGAGGAAGCUCCGGCUAACUACGUGCCAGCAGCCGCGGUAAUACGUAGGGAGCGAGCGUUGUCCGGAAUUACUGGGUGUAAAGGGAGCGUAGGCGGGAUCGCAAGUCAGAUGUGAAAACUAUGGGCUUAACCCAUAAACUGCAUUUGAAACUGUGGUUCUUGAGUGAAGUAGAGGUAAGCGGAAUUCCUAGUGUAGCGGUGAAAUGCGUAGAUAUUAGGAGGAACAUCAGUGGCGAAGGCGGCUUACUGGGCUUUAACUGACGCUGAGGCUCGAAAGCGUGGGGAGCAAACAGGAUUAGAUACCCUGGUAGUCC